CCUACGGGCGGCAGCAGUGAGGAAUAUUGGUCAAUGGACGUAAGUCUGAACCAGCCAAGCCGCGUGAAGGAAGACGGCUCUCUGGGUUGUAAACUUCUUUUAUACGGGGGUAAACUACGAUGCGCGUAUCUGUCUUAAAGUAUCUUACGAAUAAGGAUCGGCUAACUCCGUGCCAGCAGCCGCGGUAAUACGGAGGAUGCAAGCGUUAUCCGGAUUUAUUGGGUUUAAAGGGUGCGUAGGCGGGCUGAUAAGUCAGAGGUGAAAGCCCGAGGCUCAACCCUGGAAUUGCCGUUGAUACUGUGCGGCUUGAGAGUAGUAGAGGCAGGCGGAAUGCAUGGUGUAGCGGUGAAAUGCUUAGAUAUCACACAGAACACCGAUGGCGAAGGCAGCUUACCAAGCAAUAACUGACGCUGAGGCACGAAAGCGUGGGGAGCAAACAGGAUUAGAUACCCGUGUAGUC
rnacentral:rRNA from 1 species